CAGCCGCCGCGGUAAUACGAAGGGUGCAAGCGUUACUCGGAAUUACUGGGCGUAAAGCGUGCGUAGGCGGUUUGUUAAGUCUGCUGUGAAAUCCCCCGGCUCAACCGGGGAAGUGGAGCCGAAACGACCCGUCUGGAGGGACGUAGGGGGACCUGGAACUUCCGGUGGAGCGGUGAAAUGCGUUGAGAUCGGAAGGAACGCCCGUGGCGAAAGCGAGGUCCUGGACGUCUGCUGACGCUGAGACGCGAAAGCCAGGGGAGCGAACGGGAUUAGAUACCCCAGUAGUCCCUGUCUCUUAUAC
rnacentral:rRNA from 1 species